rnacentral:rRNA from 1 species
GAUGAACGCUGGCGGCGUGCCUAAUACAUGCAAGUCGAGCGAACGGACGAGAAGCUUGCUUCUCUGCUGUUAGCGGCGGACGGGUGAGUAACACGUGGAUAACCUACCUAUAAGACUGGGAUAACUUCGGGAAACCGUAGCUAAUACCGGCUAAUAUUUUGAACCGCAUGGUUCAAAAGUGAAAGACGGUCUUGCUGUCACUUAUAGAUGGAUCCGCGCUGCAUUAUCUAGUUGGUAAGGUAACGGCUUACCAAGGCAACGAUGCAUAGCCGACCUGAGAGGGUGAUCGGCCACACGGGAACUGAGACACGGUCCAGACUCCUACGGGAGGCAGCAGUAGGGAAUCUUCCGCAAUGGGCGAAAGCCUGACGGAGCAACGCCGCGUGAGUGAUGAAGGUCUUCGGAUCGUAAAACUCUGUUAUUAGGGAAGAACAUAUGUGUAAGUAACUGUGCACAUCUUGACGGUACCUAAUCAGAAAGCCACGGCUAACUACGUG